CAGUGUUCUCAUCCUACCUGUGUGUUGCGUACCACCCUCUUUGUGCAUGUGCUGCUAAUCUUUGCGUUGAGCUUGAAGAUGAUGACAAAAUCCACCUCAUGUUACUUGAUGAGGAUGAGGAUCCAUGCAUUCGGCUACUCUUGUACUGCAAAAAGCACAGACAACCAUCUGCUGAACGUCCAUCUCUAAAAAGUGACCCUAAUGAGCGUGCUCAAGUAGUUCAGACGAAUUUGGCUUCAUCAUCUGGUUGUGCAAGGACAGAUGAUUGAAUAUAUCCUUUUGCUAUUUGUAUGGCAGCGCGAGAUGGAGACCUUCAUCAUGCUCAUUGUCAAUUUGAUUGUUGUUUUAUUGCAAUGCAUGUGUUUCACCCGUUAACUAUUUUAUUUUGUAAUUUUUUUUCUCCCGUUACAACGUACGGGUAUGUA